CGGCCGCGUCGACGCAAGUCGAACGAAGCACCUGAACGGAUUUCUUCGGAUUGAAGUUCUUGUGACUGAGUGGCGGACGGGUGAGUAACGCGUGGGUAACCUGCCUCAUACAGGGGGGAUAACAGUUAGAAAUGACUGCUAAUACCGCAUAAGCGCACAGCUUCGCAUGAAGCAGUGUGAAAAACUCCGGUGGUAUGAGAUGGACCCGCGUCAGAUUAGCUAGUUGGCAGGGUAACGGCCUACCAAGGCGACGAUCUGUAGCCGACCUGAGAGGGUGACCGGCCACAUUGGGACUGAGACACGGCCCAAACGUCCUACGGGAGGCAGGCAGGUGGGGAAUAUUGCACAAUGGGGAAACCCUGAUGCAGCGACGCCGCGUGAGCGAAGAAGUAUUUCGGUAAUGUAAAGCUCUAGUCAGGUCAGGGUAAGAUAAUGACGGUACCUGGAACUAAGAAGCUACGGACUAAGUACGUGCCGAGCGAGCCGACGGUAAUACGUAGUGGACGCGAAGUCGUUAGUACCGGAGUUUACGAGGGUGUAAACGGGNGACGUUAGGG
rnacentral:rRNA from 1 species